rnacentral:rRNA from 1 species
UACGUAGGGAGCAAGCGUUGUCCGGAAUCAUUGGGCGUAAAGCGCGCGUAGGCGGCCCGGUAAGUCCGUUGUAAAAGUCGAAGGCUCAACCUUCGAAAGCCGAUGGAUACUGCCGGGCUAGAGUUCGGAAGAGGCGAGUGGAAUUCCUGGUGUAGCGGUGGAAUGCGCAGAUAUCAGGAAGAACACCCGUGGCGAAGGCGGCUCUCUGGGACGGUACUGACGCUGAGACGCGAAAGCGUGGGGAGCGAACAGG